rnacentral:rRNA from 1 species
UACGUAGGCAGCAAGCGUUGUUCGGAGCUACUGGGCGUAAAGGGUGCGUAGGCGGCUUUUUAAGUCUGGUGUGAAAUCUCCCGGCUCAACUGGGAGGGUGCGCCGGAUACUGAGGGGCUAGAGUGUGGGAGAGGAAAGUGGAAUUCCUGGUGUAGCGGUGAAAUGCGUAGAUAUCAGGAGGAACACCGGUGGUGUAAACGGCUUUCUGGACCAUAACUGACGCUGAGGCACGAAAGCGUGGGUAGCAAACAGG